rnacentral:rRNA from 1 species
AUUGAACGCUGGCGGCAUGCUUUACACAUGCAAGUCGAACGGUAACAGGUUAAGCUGACGAGUGGCGAACGGGUGAGUAAUGCAUCGGAACGUGCCCGGUCGUGGGGGAUAACGCAGCGAAAGCUGCGCUAAUACCGCAUACGAUCUGAGGAUGAAAGCGGGGGACCGUAAGGCCUCGCGCGAUCGGAGCGGCCGAUGUCAGAUUAGGUAGUUGGUGGGGUAAAGGCUCACCAAGCCAACGAUCUGUAGCUGGUCGGAGAGGACGACCAGCCACACUGGGACUGGGAGACGGCCCAGACUCCUACGGGAGGCAGCAGUGGGGAAUUUUGGACAAUGGGCGAAAGCCUGAUCCAGCAAUGCGGCGUGCAGGAAGAAGGCCUUCGGGUUGUAAACUGCUUUUGUACGGAGCGAAAAGGUCUCCUCUAAUACAGGGGGCUCAUGACGGUACCGUAAGAAUAAGCACCGGCUAACUACGUGCCAGCAGCCGCAGUAA